CCUACGGGAGGCAGCAGUGGGGAAUAUUGGGCAAUGGGCGCAAGCCUGACCCAGCAACGCCGCGUGAAGGAAGAAGGCUUUCGGGUUGUAAACUUCUUUUAUCAGGGACGAAGCAAGUGACGGUACCUGAUGAAUAAGCCACGGCUAACUACGUGCCAGCAGCCGCGGUAAUACGUAGGUGGCAAGCGUUAUCCUGAUUUACUGGGUGUAAAGGGCGUGUAGGCGGGAAAGCAAGUCAGAUGUGAAAACCAUGGGCUCAACCUGUGGCCUGCAUUUGAAACUGUUUUUCUUGAGUACUGGAGAGGCAGACGGAAUUCCUAGUGUAGCGGUGAAAUGCGGAGAGAUUAGGAGGAACACCAGUGGCGAAGGCGGUCUGCUGGACAGCAACUGACGCUGAGGCGCGAAAGCGUGGGGAGCAAACAGGAUUAGAUACCCCGGUAGUC
rnacentral:rRNA from 1 species